AUUGAACGCUGGCGGCAUGCCUUACACAUGCAAGUCGAACGGCAGCAUGGGUGCUUGCACCUGAUGGCGAGUGGCGAACGGGUGAGUAAUACAUCGGAACGUACCCGGAAGUGGGGGAUAACGUAGCGAAAGUUACGCUAAUACCGCAUAUUCUGUGAGCAGGAAAGAGGGGGAUCGCAAGACCUCUCGCUUUCGGAGCGGCCGAUGUCAGAUUAGCUAGUUGGUGGGGUAAAGGCCUACCAAGGCGACGAUCUGUAGCGGGUCUGAGAGGAUGAUCCGCCACACUGGGACUGAGACACGGCCCAGACUCCUACGGGAGGCAGCAGUGGGGAAUUUUGGACAAUGGGCGCAAGCCUGAUCCAGCCAUGCCGCGUGAGUGAAGAAGGCCUGGUGUAAGA
rnacentral:rRNA from 1 species